rnacentral:rRNA from 1 species
GACGAACGCUGGCGGCGUGCUUAACACAUGCAAGUCGAACGGUGAAGCGCCUUCCUUUUUGGUGGGUGUGGAUGAGUGGCGAACGGGUGAGUAACACGUGAGUAACCUGCCCCCUUCUUCUGGAUAACCGCAUGAAAGUGUGGCUAAUACGGGAUAUUCUGGUUCUGUCGCAUGAUGGGUCUGGGAAAGAUAUUGUUUCGGUGGGGGAUGGGCUCGCGGCCUAUCAGCUUGUUGGUGGGGUGAUGGCCUACCAAGGCGGUGGCGGGUAGCCGGCCUGCGAGGGUGGACGGUCACACUGGGACUGAGGCCCGGCCGAGACUCCUACGGGAGGCAGCAGUGGGGAAUAUUGCACAAUGGGCGAAAGCCUGAUGCAGCGACGCCGCGUGAGGGAUGGAGGCCUGCGGGUUGUGAACCUCUUUCGCCAGUGAAGCAGGCCUGCCUCGUUUGUGGGUGGGUUGACGGUAGCUGGAUAAGAAGCGCCGGCUAACUACGUG